rnacentral:rRNA from 1 species
UACAGAGGUCUCAAGCGUUGUUCGGAAUCACUGGGCGUAAAGGGUGCGUAGGCGGCUCGGUAAGUCAGAGGUGAAAUCCCGGAGCUCAACUUCGGAAUUGCCUCCGAUACUGCCGUGCUUGAGGACUGGAGAGGAGAUUGGAAUUCACAGUGGAGCAGUGAAAUGCGUAGAUAUUGUGAGGAACACUAGUGGCGAAGGCGAAGCUCUGGACAGUUCCUGACGCUGAGGCACGAAGGCCAGGGGAGCAAACGGG